UGAAAAUCGGACUUAGUGAUCCGGUGGUUCGGCGUGGAAGGGCCAUCGCUCAACGGAUAAAAGCUACCCUGGGGAUAACAGGCUUAUCUCCCCCAAGAGUCCACAUCGACGGGGAGGUUUGGCACCUCGAUGUCGGCUCAUCCCAUCCUGGGGCUGUAGUAGGUCCCAAGGGUUGGGCUGUUCGCCCAUUAAAGUGGUACGCGAGCUGUGUUCAGAACGUCGUGAGACAGUUCGGUCCCUAUCCGUCGCAGGCGUAGGAAAUUUGAGAAGACCUGUCC
rnacentral:rRNA from 1 species